rfam:Myotis davidii contig107751, whole genome shotgun sequence.
GCCGGUUUGGCUCAGUGGAUAGAGCGUCAGCCUGUGGACUGAAAGAUACCAGGUUUGAUUCCGGUCAAGGGCA